AAACUGAAGGAGUGGAAGCGUAAUAAUUGGGCAUUAGAACGUUGAAUUUCAAAAAUUAUUUCUAAAGUUACAUACACCAUGCCAAGUUUCUUAUGAACCUAAUCAAUUUUCAAUGCCCAAUUGCAUAUCAAAACAUAUUUUAGCAUACAUUAAAAUUUCAUUUGCUAUUAAAGAUUAUUAAUUAACAUUUAAUUUAAUUAAACCCUAACUGCAAGAGGGAUUUUUAUAUAUUAACUUCUUGAUGCACAAUUGAUGUAAAUCCGACUCUUAGGAUGUUCUUAGGACCCCAAAUGUUGUCCCUCUAGCUUGUCCACUACAAGCACACACCAAAGUAGCAAUGGCAGCCCCCUAGAUUGGCUUCUCAAGUCUUGUCAACCAAUUAUAAGAUGGGGUUUAUGCUUUAUGAAGGUUGUAUGAACGUAUUGGGUGUUAGAAACACUUUCUAAUAAUUUAAUUCAAGAGGAAAUCUAAGUUUUUCCCUUUGAAUCAAUUGAGAAAUAGAAUAAGAGAUGGAGACACAAUGUUGCCGUCCCAUAUGAUAGAAAAGAGAGAGUGUGGCUGAUUUUUCUUUAUGACCUCUCUUUAUAUACUUAAGUCAAACCCCAACUCCCUUGCCAUGUGUCAUCUCAAGAUCCCAUCUUGUUAUUAUUUGAUUUAAUCCUAUGGAGCCAAGUGUCAAGCUCUAUUUAAAUCAUGAUAUGUGGUCUUCUAUCAUAGGAAGACAAGUGGCAAGAUCAUAUGGUGCUAUGUGUCACCAUCUCAUAGUGCCACAUGUCACCAUGUGAAAAAACCAAUUUGCCCUUACUUUUUGAUUUGAGUUCUCAACUUAAAAUUAUAAUUUCUCCUCUUUAAAUCAUUUAUAUCAAAUAUAAAUUAAU
rnacentral:misc_RNA from 1 species